rnacentral:rRNA from 1 species
GAUGAACGCUGGCGGCGUGCUUAACACAUGCAAGUCGAGCGAAGCACUUUACUUUGAUUUCUUCGGAAUGAAGAGUGAUUUGACUGAGCGGCGGACGGGUGAGUAACGCGUGGGCAACCUGCCUCAUACAGGGGGAUAACAGUUAGAAAUGACUGCUAAUACCGCAUAAGACCACAGUACCGCAUGGUAUGGUGGUAAAACUCCGGUGGUAUGAGAUGGGCCCGCGUCUGAUUAGGUAGUUGGUGGGGUAACGGCCUACCAAGCCGACGAUCAGUAGCCGACCUGAGAGGGUGACCGGCCACAUUGGGACUGAGACACGGCCCAAACUCCUAUGGGAGGCAGCAGUGGGGAAUAUUGCACAAUGGGGGAAACCCUGAAUGCAGCGACGCCGCGUGAAGGAAGAAGUAUCUCGGUAUGUAAACUUCUAUCAGCAGGGAAGAAAAUGACGGUACCUGACUAAGAAGCCCGGCUAACUACGUGCCAGCCGCCGCAGUAAC